AUUGAACGCUGGCGGCAUGCCUUACACAUGCAAGUCGAACGGUAACGGGCCUUCGGGUGCCGACGAGUGGCGAACGGGUGAGUAAUACAUCGGAACGUGCCCGAUCGUGGGGGAUAACGAGGCUAAAGCUUUGCUAAUACCGCAUACGAUCUACGGAUGAAAGCAGGGGACCGCAAGGCCUUGCGCGGACGGAGCGGCCGAUGGCAGAUUAGGUAGUUGGUGGGAUAAAAGCUUACCAAGCCGACGAUCUGUAGCUGGUCUGAGAGGAUGAUCAGCCACACUGGGACUGAGACACGGCCCAGACUCCUACGGGAGGCAGCAGUGGGGAAUUUUGGACAAUGGGCGCAAGCCUGAUCCAGCCAUGCCGCGUGCAGGAUGAAGGCCUUCGGGUUGUAAACUGCUUUUGUACGGAACGAAAAGCCUUCUUUUAAUACAGGAGGGUCAUGACGGUACCGUAAGAAUAAGCACCGGCUAACUACGUG
rnacentral:rRNA from 1 species